rnacentral:lncRNA from 1 species
GGCUUGUGGUGGUAAGGGUGAACGGGUUGAGCGUUGCAUGUCCAAAAAAUUGGUUUUAUUUGACAACACGAAAACAUAAAAAGGAUGAUUUCUGUUUCAUAAUUUAACUCAAGAAGCAGUACCUCUAGCUAUGGAAGAUUACUGAGCCAAAUGCCCAUUCCGUGGCUACAAAAAACUGAUUAUUUUGUUUUUCUUAGUGGUGCCACUACCUUCAGAUUAGAAGGACAUACAUAAUACUCAUCCGCCGAACUGCACAUAUCUUUUACAUCAUUUUCAUGGCCUAAUAAUACAUCCAUCUCAUUUAUUCAGUUUAUCGGUUACCAAAAAGUAUCAGCUAUCAGUCCACAAAGAGCAUCAACUAUCAGUUCACAAAAAUAUGAAACAUCACAGGAACAUAAAAAGAAUGUUUAUUAGUUCACAAACCUAUCAGCAAUAGUAGUCCUGCGGCUCCAGUGCAGCCGCCAUUGUUGGUUUUUCUUCUUAAAAUACACACUGAACUGCUGUAACAAAAAAGAAACUUUAAAGCACAAGAUUUAGCAAGAUGAACCACUAGUCUACUAACCAGAGAACUAAAUGAAUUUCCAUAAUUGAACUUUUUUCUAAUGCUUUUUUCAAAUUUGAACUAAACUUUUUUUCACUCCUAUCUAAUCUUCAACAAAUUCUCUAGUGGACCUAUUAUUAUUAUCACAAAAUAAUCAACAUGAAUGAUCUCCACCCGUCACCAAUUUACUCAAACCAUCCAAACUCAUAUGAGCUUUCCAUUCAAGAUUUCCCGUCCUAUCUUCUUCUAAAAAAAUUGAGAACUCUAACCACAUCUUUUCUGGAAGCUAUACUGAAAUACUAGCACAUAUACUACUUUAUAGCAAGUAGCUUUCGAACAAAAGUUACAAAACAUAAUUGAAAGUUGCAAGAAUUUGAAUAGGAGGAAGUCCAACUUAGCUGCAAGCAUAAGAUCAACCAGAGCAUCAGAAUAAGUACACUUAGCUUAAAACAAAUUUGAGAGAUUGAGGGACUACAGGGGUUGUUAUCUCGAAAGAACAUUUGGUGAAUAGAAAAAUGGAUUUAUGAGAUUGACAUUGUCCUGUUUAGAUUAUCUACCCAAACACAGAUAGGACUUUAACUACACCGGACGUUUUUCUGUGCUAGAUAGUGUGUAGACAUGCUGCCAAGGUCUCACACAUGGGUUGCUUGAACAAGUUGAAUUAAAUAUCUUUUUCAUUUUGAACUUUGAAAGAAGCUACAACUUCCACAAAUGUACACAGAAUUUUAAAUUCUGAGCACAUACCUUCUGUUGUUGUUUGUUGACGGGCACGCCGCUCCUACUCCUGUGGACUGACGGCGCCGGCGAAGUCGAGCUGAAGGAGCGGGGAUCACAAGCGGCGGCUGGGUGACCUGCUUAUCUCUCUCUGCUUUAUCCCAAAUCGGCGAAUAAAAAAGAGCCAACCUGAAGUGACUCCUGUGAACUCUGAACUUUUCUGGAGCUUUUUGUUGAACUGAAGCAUGCUUUGGAGCAGAACGAGAUUGAGUAAAUUGCGAGGAAGCUGAGCAACAAUCGACCGGAGAUUCAAGACAACUAUAUCAAUUGGAGAUGUCACUGAACUAUAGGACGCUUGUACUACAAGAACUGAAUCUAUUGCCAAUCUUGAACUUCCAGGUUCCAUACACAAAGCUAUAAAUAUGUAAUAAAUCCUACAAGGUGAGCUGUAUGAUGAACUAAAAAAACAAAAAAAGCCUACAAAGUGGUGUUAUGCUGCGUGACUCCAUUCGGGGUUUUCUCCCACAAAAGUAAAGAGAAAAACUACAUGGCAGAAUUAAAAUCUUGGUAUAAGAAGUAGCGUCAGCCCCUCUGCAAGAAGAACUGAAUAUUCGGUGUAUUUCGAGUAUCUGUUUACUGACAUAAACACAGACACGAUAUUCGGGAUCAGAUUUUCUUAACUUGUAGGUAGGAGAAGGCUUUCAUCAAGCAUCACUAUUUCAGUUUAGUUUCACCUUGGGUAAUUUUUGUUUGAGUUGAUCUCUUGUCGGUCAACUAGCCAGCGAGGAGAAGCAGUGUGAGGUGUGCCUCAGCAAAGCCA